rnacentral:lncRNA from 13 species
UAUAGUCGUAACAGCGGUGAAAAAUUUUGUCUACUAUUCCGUUAGGUAUAAGAGUGUAUAAGAGCGUAGGUUGAACGAGCAGAGGUAAUAUCGAGCGACCAAUAUUAUAUUAGUCGGCGUGGCGGUCGGCGAGGACAUUACAGAGUGACCAAGAGUGAGGAGAGGACAUUCUCGAGGAGAAUCAGAUGGAUGGAUUCUCACCGUCGCACCUUUGGCGAGUCAACGCGCACCUUCAAACUCGCCAUCUCUGGAUUCUUCUGGAUAACGACGAAGCUCAAGCAAGUUGAAACGCAACUUCUCCGGUUGCCAAUGCCGCCGCCGCCGCAGCCGCGGCGGUCGAUGAGUCGAUCUCGAGUUGAUUGCGAGCGGAGUGGAGUGGAGUGGAGUUGGGGGGAAAAAGCGUUGACGCGAGAAUCGUCGCCGGCCGCGUCGUCGAUUCUAGAAACAUAAGCAACCGAUAGACAGUGCGGAUUAGAUUCACAGAUUAUCUCAGGAUGAAAAUGACUCUGGUCCCGUUUCAGCACGUGUGAAAAAGAGACUGUCUCACAAACAACGGGAAAAGAUUAUAAGAAUCGAUUCUCAAAUUUUCUCAAAAAAUCGUCAAUUAUAUAUUUUUCGGAGCGUUGGUAAACACGCGAUGAAAAAAAUGAUUUUUAGUUUUUUUCGAAAAGAACAACGUCGAGUAACGUCCAUUUUACGUGACGUCGCGAAAACUUGAAACUUACCAAAAAAUUACCAAUUAAUUGAUUUAUAAUUGUGUGCACACACACACACACACACGUGUGCGCGCACGCGCGCGCGCGAUUCGCGAAUAAGCGGAGGGUGAAAAGCGGUGACAAAUGGGCGACGGUGCGGAAGCCAGAGAGCCAGAGAGCGGAUGGAAAAGAGAAAAAGGUAAAGAGAUGUACGACGAGUCACAGAAUACGAUCGGUCGAGCGAUCUUUCCGUUGCAAUUGCUGUUCCUCGUGACGUUUGCCACAGAUUGUCAAAACGCAGUUGUGGCACGAUUAUCGUCGUCGGUCGUCGUUCGUCGCUGCUCGUCAGUUGUCCGCUACUCUGCUCUCGUCCUCCCAGCCCCAACGCGUUCAUCGAACGCGAUGGUGUUAGGGGCGUAAGAGGGAUGCGAUUACGAGGACCUCUCGCGAAAACACGUGUUCUACUACUAGCUACUAAAAGAAUCCUCGCGUCUCUUAUUUUGUUGCGCGCGUGCAUGUGCGAAGCACGUGAGUACUCGCUUCGUCUCUUCAGAGAAAUUUUGUUAUUUACACAUUAUAUAUAUUGUAAUUUACUAGUCUCUUAUAUUUGUAUUAUAUUAUGCAGCGCGGAUGGUGCGUGCCUUCCUAAUAUACCCGUUUCAACCGUUGCAAAUGCUCCGAAGUAUUUGCAGCAUCAAUUUGAUCGCACCUUUGAUAACAUGUACAAUAUUUAAGCAUUGUCUACGUACCUAUUUUAAGAAUUAAUCUAUAUGAGUAAUAACUUUCGAGUGCAGUGGGUUUAACCCAAUCCAAGGCGGGUUAAUGACGUCACACACUAUAUAUAUUUUAGCUUCUAAUUGGACGAUUUCAGCAUAUGGCUGAGUCAUUAACACGAGGGCUGUAAGAUUAAACGGAUUAAAGAUUAGAUAAGUUUUCCAUUAUUUUUCUUUCCAUGACUAAAUUUGAUUAGAUAAACCUUUUAUUUUUGGGGGAAGGCCUCUCUCCAACAAGAAAUAUUGUUCUGUAAUUAAAUAAAUGACAUCACUCUAAGAA